rnacentral:rRNA from 1 species
UGGCGAACGGGUGAGUAAUAUAUCGGAACGUGCCCAGUCGUGGGGGAUAACGUAGAGAAAUUUACGCUAAUACCGCAUACGAUCUACGGAUGAAAGCGGGGGAUUCGCAAGAACCUCGCGCGAUUGGAGCGGCUGAUAUCAGAUUAGGUUGUUGGUGAGGUAAAAGCUCACCAAGCCGACGAUCUGUAGCUGGUCUGAGAGGACGACCAGCCACACUGGGACUGAGACACGGCCCAGACUCCUACGGGAGGCAGCAGUGGGGAAUUUUGGACAAUGGGCGCAAGCCUGAUCCAGCCAUGCCGCGUGCGGGAAGAAGGCCUUCGGGUUGUAAACCGCUUUUGUCAGGGAAGAAAUCCUUUGAGAUAACACCUCGGAGGGAUGACGGUACCUGAAGAAUAAGCACCGGCUAACUACGUGCCAGCAGCCGCGGUAAUACGUAGGGUGCGAGCGUUAAUCGGAAUUACUGGGCGUAAAGCGUGCGCAGGCGGUCUUGCAAGACAGGUGUGAAAUCCCCGGGCUUAACCUGGGAACUGCACUUGUGAC